rfam:Schistosoma haematobium scaffold1586_3, whole genome shotgun sequence.
GCACUGUUGAAGAGUCUAAUAUUAGGACUAAACGGCCGUCCAGUAC